rnacentral:tRNA from 1 species
GCCGAUGUAGCUCAACGGCAGAGCAAUCCCUUCGUAAGGGAAAGGUUGUCGGUUCAAGUCCGACCAUCGGCUCCA